rnacentral:lncRNA from 1 species
UAAUGCCAAUUCUUCUGGCCAGAAAGAUAACGGUGGCAAGAGUUGGGGUGGUGGUGGUACUGACUGGUCUAAUGCCAAUUCUUCUGGCCAGAAAGAUAAUGGUGGCAAGAGUUGGGGUGGUAGUGGUGGUACUGACUGGUCUAAUGCCAAUUCUUCUGACCAGAAAGAUAACGGUGACAAGAGUUGGGGUAGUGCUGGUACUGGCUGGGCUAAUGCCAAUUCUUCUUGUUCGAAUGAUAAUAUUGGCAAGAGUUGGGGUGGUACUGGUGAGGGUGGUGAUGGUGGUGGUGGGUGGCAUUCUGGUGAUGGUGGUCACGGACAAGGGCAGAAAGAUAACGGUGACAAGAG